ACGGCAGCGGGGGAGCUUGCUCCCGCCGGCGAGUGGCGAACGGGUGAGUAAUACAUCGGAACGUACCCAGUAGCGGGGGAUAGCCCGGCGAAAGCCGGAUUAAUACCGCAUACGCCCUACGGGGGAAAGGGGGGGAUCGCAAGGCCUCUCACUAUUGGAGCGGCCGAUGGCUGAUUAGCUAGUUGGUGGGGUAAAGGCCUACCAAGGCGACGAUCAGUAGCUGGUCUGAGAGGACGACCAGCCACACUGGGACUGAGACACGGCCCAGACUCCUACGGGAGGCAGCAGUGGGGAAUUUUGGACAAUGGGCGAAAGCCUGAUCCAGCAAUGCCGCGUGUGCGAAGAAGGCCUUCGGGUUGUAAAGCACUUUUGUCAGGGAAGAAAUCGUUUGGGUUAAUACCCCGAGCAGUUGACGGUACCUGAAGAAUAAGCACCGGCUAACUACGUGCCAGCAGCCGCGGUAAUACGUAGGGUGCAAGCGUUAAUCGGAAUUACUGGGCGUAAAGCGUGCGCAGGUGGUUUGUUAAGACAGUUGUGAAAUCCCCGGGCUUAACCUGGGAACUGCAAUUGUGACUGGCAGACUAGAGUGAGGCAGAGGGGGGCGGAAUUCCUGGUGUAGCAGUGAAAUGCGUAGAUAUCAGGAGGAACACCGAUGGCGAAGGCAGCCCCCUGGGCCAUCACUGACACUCAUGCACGAAAGCGUGGGGAGCA
rnacentral:rRNA from 1 species